AAAAAGAUGAGCUAAAAUCAGCUCUUCAAGAAUUUUACGGAGAGUUUGAUCCUGGCUCAGGACGAACGCUGG
rnacentral:rRNA from 1 species